rnacentral:rRNA from 1 species
UAUGGAGGGGGCUAGCGGUGUUCGGAAUUACUGGGCGUAAAGCGCGCGUAGGCGGGCUGUUAAGUCGGGGGUGAAAUCCCGGGGCUCAACCCCGGAACUGCCUUCGAUACUGGCAGCCUAGAGGAAGGCAGAGGCUAGUGGAAUGGCGAGUGUAGAGGUGAAAUUCGUAGAUAUUCGCCGGAACACCAGUUGCGAAGGCGACUGGCGGGGCCUUUUAUAACUUUGAGGUGCGAAAGCGUGGGGAGCAAACAGG